ACAAGGUUUCCGUAGGUUCCCUUGCGGAAAGAUAAUUACCGAGUGAGGGCCCUCUGGGUCCAACCUCCCACCCGUGUUUAUCGUACCUUGUUGCUUCGGCGGGCCCGCCUCACGGCCGCCGGGGGGCAUCCGCCCCCGGGCCCGCGCCCGCCGAAGACACCAAUGAACUCUUGUCUGAAGAUUGCAGUCUGAGCAGAUUAGCUAAAUCAGUUAAAACUUUCAACAACGGAUCUCUUGGUUCCGGCAUCGAUGAAGAACGCAGCGAAAUGCGAUAAGUAAUGUGAAUUGCAGAAUUCAGUGAAUCAUCGAGUCUUUGAACGCACAUUGCGCCCCCUGGUAUUCCGGGGGGCAUGCCUGUCCGAGCGUCAUUGCUGCCCUCAAGCACGGCUUGUGUGUUGGGCUUCGCCCCCCGGCUCCCGGGGGGCGGGCCCGAAAGGCAGCGGCGGCACCGCGUCCGGUCCUCGAGCGUAUGGGGCUUUGUCACCCGCUCUGUAGGCCCGGCCGGCGCCCGCCGGCGACCCCAAAUCAAUCUAUCCAGGUUGACCUCGGAUCAGGUAGGGAUACCCGCUGAACUUAAGC
rnacentral:rRNA from 1 species